GUGGGGAAUCUUGCGCAAUGGGCGAAAGCCUGACGCAGCCAUGCCGCGUGAAUGAUGAAGGUCUUAGGAUUGUAAAAUUCUUUCACCGGGGAUGAUAAUGACGGUACCCGGAGAAGAAGCCCCGGCUAACUUCGUGCCAGCAGCCGCGGUAAUACGAAGGGGGCUAGCGUUACUCGGAAUUACUGGGCGUAAAGGGCGCGUAGGCGGACAGUUUAGUCAGAGGUGAAAGCCCAGGGCUCAACCUUGGAAUUGCCUUUGAUACUGGCUGUCUUGAGUACGGGAGAGGUGAGUGGAACUCCGAGUGUAGAGGUGAAAUUCGUAGAUAUACGGAGGAACACCAGUGGCGAAGGCGGAUUACUGGACGAUAACUGACGCUGAGGCGCGAAAGCGUGGGGAGCAAACAGGAUUAGAAACCCUAGUAGUCC
rnacentral:rRNA from 1 species